ensembl:lncRNA
UUUCUCAAACAAACAGCCAGCAAGAAAAAAAAUAAUACCCCAUUAAAUAUAAUAAAGCACAAGAAACCACAGCGUCUCCCUGAUAAAUGGAACGGCGGUGUAACCUAGACUGCAAACACACAAACCUCCUCCUACCACCCCAAGCAGGGCGGCUGCGUGCCCUGCGCUCACCUGGGUGAUUUUCCUUAACCAAAGCUGUGUCACAGCCUGGGCUCACGUCAGCAGCAGUUCUAGCUCCUCAUGUUUUUAAGCAGAUUGGGUUUUCACUCUUGUGUAAAGCACAUGCAGAGCAAAUCCUGGCUCUGCUCCUACAUACUCCUUACAUCUUGCAGGCUGCAGGGAUGAUGAACACCCUGCUGCCAACCCUUUGGAGCUCAUGGGUUCUAGUUUGAGCUACUCUGAUUUCUCUUCCUCCUUUCUCCCUCCCUCCUUCAGUUCUUGUGAUGUUGGCAGAACCCCUGGAGCUCCGCUUGCAGCAAUGGGCAAGGCUGAAGGAGGUCACAGAAUCACAGCGUCGUUUGAGUUGGAAAGGACCCUUAAAGGCCAUCCGGUCCAACUGCCCUAUCAGUGCAAUCAAAGCAAAGCUCCCAGGCUGGGGAAGGAGCCCCCUAAAUGCCAAAAUAUUUCACGGCCACAAAAAGGACAAAGCAUUGACUUGAAUCUGGAUUUGGAAAAUGAAGACAAGAGGAAUUUCUUUUUCAGUCUGUCUGAACGGAGUGUCUGAAAAGGAGCUGUCAUGGAACGGAGCGCGUGCGCCGAUAACAGCCGCCCAUCCGAGCUGGAUGGCAGCUGACUGCUCUUGGAUCCAUCGCGCACACAUCUGUAGCUGAGAUCCUCCUUUCCAAGCUGCUGCUCCUCGGAGUGCUUCACAGAGGUCAUUCCUCUUUGCAAGGCUCGUUCCCUCCUGCCUUGCAGAUCUCCCUGCCAUUUUCUCCCCUCCUGCAUGUCAGGGCAGCAGGAGGAGUUGCAGCAGUCCCAGGACACGAGUGCACAUGUGCACCACUGCCUUUUUUUUUCACAGGGUGGGAAAACUUUUGGGAAGUGCUGAGAGAUCGCCCUUUUUUCCUGCUCCUGAGGCCAGUUUCCUUCCUCACAGAUUGCAGGUCCCAGGUGGUGCAAACAGCCAGAGCAGCCCAACCCUGCCGAUCUUCCCAAGGCAGCUCCGUGCAUCCCAUGCCACCAGCUCUUCCCUUUGCACUGAGAGAGGAAACUGAGACAUCCCCACAAACUUUCCUGGAGGAACCCACACCACCAGAGGGGACCGCAGUGGGUCACAACCUGACCCGACCCCAAAGGGCAGCGAUGCAGAUGGCAGUGGGAAAACCAGGUCGGAGUGCAUUGGAAAGAGCUGAAAGUCAGAGGGAUCUCCUCCAAGCCACCUCUCGCUGCUUUUGGAUGCUAGGAGGAACCAACUCUGCGUUGAAGCACUUGGCACAAGGCAGGACCAAGGUGUGUUCUCCCCAUGCCUCGUGAAGGGGGAGCAGGGAUGUGGCCCACCUGGGAAUUUAGCUCUGGGCAUUAAGGCUUCACCAACGACCAACAGCCCAUCACUGCAUGCUGGCCAGCAGGGUAGCAUCGGGAUGCAUGGGUCACCGAGGGACAACCCCACGGUCUGUGGGUUUUAAGGCAUGAGAUGAGUGGGGAAAAGUGUCCCUGGAAAGGAGAUGCAACCCAGGAAUGAGGAUCUGCAGCCACCUAUCUGGAUGGGCU